GACGAACGCUGGCGGCGUGCCUAAUACAUGCAAGUUGAGCGCUGAAGGUUGGUACUUGUACCAACUGGAUGAGCAGCGAACGGGUGAGUAACGCGUGGGGAAUCUGCCUUUGAGCGGGGGACAACAUUUGGAAACGAAUGCUAAUACCGCAUAAAAACUUUAAACACAAGUUUUAAGUUUGAAAGAUGCAAUUGCAUCACUCAAAGAUGAUCCCGCGUUGUAUUAGCUAGUUGGUGAGGUAAAGGCUCACCAAGGCGAUGAUACAUAGCCGAACUGAGAGGGUGAGUGGCCAGAUUGGGACUGAGACACGGCACAAACUCCCACGGGAGGCAGCAGUAGGGAAUCGUCGGCAAUGGACGAAAGUCUGAGCGAGAAACGCCGAGUGAGUGAAGAAGGUUGUCGGAUCGGAAAACUCUGUUGGUAGAGAAGAACGUUGGUGAGAGUGGAAAGCUCAUCAAGUGACGGUAACUACCCAGAAAGGGACGGCUAACUACGUG
rnacentral:rRNA from 1 species